GAACGAUGAAGGAAACAUCUCUGCAAUGUCUGCUCAUUCUGAUCUCACUGCUGAGCUGCACAACACACCAAGCUCGUCUGACUGUGAGUCCCAGCAGCUCUCAGUUCUUUAAAGGAGACUUUGUGUCUCUGAGCUGUGAGGAGGACGACAGCUCUGCUGGAUGGACUCUGAGGAGAAACACAAGCAAACAACA